GGCCAUGACUCAAUGGUAGAGCAUCUUCUUGACAUGCAGAAGAAGAGCCCAGGUUCAAUCCCUGGCAUCUCCA
rnacentral:tRNA from 1 species